rnacentral:rRNA from 1 species
CAGUAGCCGCGGUAAUACGAAGGGUGCAAGCGUUAAUCGGAAUUACUGGGCGUAAAGCGUGCGUAGGCGGUUUGUUAAGUCUGCUGUGAAAUCCCCGGGCUCAACCUGGGAAUGGCAGUGGAUACUGGCAAGCUAGAGUGUGUCAGAGGAUGGUGGAAUUCCCGAUGUAGCGGUGAAAUGCGUAGAGAUCGGGAGGAACAUCAGUGGCGAAGGCGGCCAUCUGGGACAACACUGACGCUGAGGCACGAAAGCGUGGGGAGCAAACAGGAUUAGAUACCCGCGUAGUCCCUGUCUCUUAUAC